CGAUCCCGUCUGAUCUCGGAAGCUAAGCAGGGUCGGGCCUGGUUAGUCCUUGGAUGGGAGACCACCUAGGACGACCAGGUGCUGUAGGUA
rnacentral:rRNA from 1 species